UCUACUGCCGUCAAAACCGUCUCAUCGGUCGUGCUGUCGAACCUGACUCCAAAUACGUCCCGUACAUCCCGUUUGUUUGUCGGUCGGUUGCGCGUGCAGUAGAGCGCCACGCGCUGUAUUCGUGAUCGUUUUCUGUUCUGUCGCGGAGCUAGGUUUGUCGCUGACUGCUCGCGAGCCUGUCGUAUGGAAAGGGAACGAUACAGAAAUCGAGUAAGAGAUACAGAAAACUUCAUCGGAGGUCUUGUCAACAAGAUAACCUUAAGCAUCUUUUGCAAAUAUGUGAGGCUUUCAUCCGUGAUGGGUGAAUAGCUCACACAACACCCAUCAUCGUCCGCUUUGUACGCUUUCAAAGAGAAAGUCUAUAAAAAAAAAAUAGAAUUAAUCCGAUAUGUUGAACGAACGACAACGGCUCACAACAAUGGUGGAUCGGUUAAGGGAUGUUUACCCUUUUCGAUUGUCUUCCUAGCAAGCACAAAAGAGCUUUUAUCGCCAUCGUGCCGUAAAACGUCUGAACUGGAUCACGAUUGAAAAAUGAUUAACCUCGUAACCAUCGCAUGCAUUAACAUCAAUGACUACUCGAACCAAUAUCCCAGAAAUGUGCAUUUCUCAGUGGGUACUAUGAUACGCUCAGUGACUACUAAGAUUCGCGACAUCAACAAUCAGGGUUUUCAAUUUGCUUGUGUUGUUAGGUCUGUGGAGGGAAAUGAUAGAUUCGGAAUUUGUAAUUCAUUUUAGAGUAGUUUAGCUCGAUUUCAGUGUUGGAAAUAGUUUAAGCUAAAAGAUAACUUUUACAUACUUUUGGAUGUGGAAUUUUUAAACGAAGCAACACCUUCCUAUACCGAGGAGACGCUAUUCUUAGAGACACAGGAUUACGAGCUUCAUUUGAGUGAAUUGGAAGAAGAAGCAGACGAAGAAGAAAAUGCCGACGAAGACAAUGAUGGAGAGGAUCUGGACGAUAAAGACAAUCCCGACAUUGGUCAGAUGAACGGUGAAGAAUGUCAUCAAUCAAUACGGCGGCUGUUAAGAAUCCUAAAUGCGAAAACGGAUCUCAAUUUGCCCACCAAAGAUCCCACCACUUUAUUGGGCACCCUUCGUAACCGUGCAACGAUGUCUAAUAUUGGAGAAGGAAACUGUUGGUACCACGAAAUUAGUCAUGCUUUAACGAAGGAGCUACAGUAAGUAAAUUAAUGCAUGACGCGAUAAACUGUUCACUUGUACGUUGUAAGCAAAUCAUAACCAUUUUUUCUUACAGAAAAUAUACAAACGUACCAGAUCAUCUUCAUUACGACAUUAAUAUAGACGGCCUCCCUCUGCAGCAAAGGUCAAAAACGCAUAUUGUUGAAGAUAGUAGGAGAGCCAUUUUUGCCUGUACUAAUCGUCGGAAUCUAUUGCGAUGAAUCGAAGCCGUAAAGCAAUGAACCGUUCCGACGUCCGUUGGUUGAGAAGAUAAAUUCUUUGCAAACAACGGGUCUGCAGUUGAAUGAUGCCACAGUAAAGCUUCACUACACGAGUAAGCUGAUCCUCUCCAGGGUGUACAUCAACGAUGCGCGUCAGUGGCCAGCGGGUGAUGGGGAGGGAGUCGUCCACAGGGAUGGCCAGUCUGCCGGGAACGAUUUCGCACCGAACCGCAACCUUGUUGACCUUCUGCAUUUCCUGCAGAUACUCAGUGGUUCAAUGCUUCCAGAAACGUUGCACGAGUAAUUGCCAAGUUUGUAGUUCAUCCAAAGUGUAGGUCUUCAGGCGCGUGUAGUCGGAAACGGGGAUGGCGUACAUGGAAGUACCGAUCAGGAAGUGCGCAGGAGUAAGCGCGGCCAAAUCGUUUGGGUCAUCCGUCAUUGGCAGCAAAGGACGCGAGUUCAUCGCCGCUUCUAUCUGCUGAGAAACGGUGCUGUAAGCUUCGUAAGACAGCCUCUAGCUGCUCAGAUGCCGGUAGAGAUGUCGUUUGGCUGUCUUCACCGCAGCCUCCCACAAUCCACCGAAAUGUGGAGCCUUAGGUGGAGUAAAGUGCCAGCUCGUGUGAUGCACCUUCGAAUUUUUCCCGUUUUCGAAGUGUAUAUCCGACGGUAGCUCGCGCCGGGCUGUGAAGCGGUGUAAAGCGGCCAAGAACCCUGCAGUGGUGAGAUCGCUGACCAGCUCCAGGUGAACCGCCUUGGCUGCAAAACAAACGAACACAC